CACCAUUGGGAAUAAAUAUCUGAGGGAAUGCUUCUCAGGGACACACGAUGCUGCUUGGUUCCUGAAACUGCAUACUCCGAGGACAUGGCUUUCUGACUCUCAUUUAGAUGCAGCAUUCCAUCUCAUGAGGAGGCGUCUAGAAUUUUAUCCUAACAUGUACCCUCAGAAAUGUGUUGUUAUGCCUACAAUUUUUCCCGAAUCAUUGAAGGCUCGGUGGGACGCUUUUCCAGGUUCUGACUACUCUAGAUUUAGUUGGGAUGACAGUAUAUUGGACCUGGUUAGGGGUGAUGCAGUCCAGUUCUUACCGAGUUGGCAGAACAAGGAGUUCAUUUAUUUUGCCCUCUUCUUGAAAGACCAAUUGCAUUGGGUAGCUGUAGAGGCAGACCUGAAUGGGUGGAUGCUCAACAUCUUUGACUCCAGUAUUGGAUCAAUUUCCGAAAACGAUUUGAUCAGCUUGAUGGUUGACUAGUGUACCAUUUUCCCGUCGGUCUUGCGACAGUCCGGUUUAUUUGAGAACCAUGACGUUAUACUCGCGCCUCAGUUGACAGCAUCAGAGAGCCAGGUCAGACCCUUCGAUUGGAAACUCACUCCACGUGAAUUCGUACCGCAAACAAAAUCCAGUGGCGAUUGCGGAUGUUACGUAAUUGAGCAUAUUGAACAUAAGCUUCUACAACUACCAUUUGAUAAUGUAACUGACAAUAAUAUGAAACUUUUUA